rnacentral:rRNA from 1 species
CGCCUGUUUAUCAAAAACAUGGCUUUUUGAUAAUAAUUUAAAGUCUGGCCUGCCCACUGAGUAUUUAAAGGGCCGCGGUAAUUUGACCGUGCUAAGGUAGCAUAAUCAUUAGUUUUUUAAUUGAAAGCUGGUAUGAAUGGUCGGAUGAGAAAAUAGCUGUCUCUAUUUAAUUUUUUUUGAAUUUUAUUUUUAAGUAAAAAAGCUUAAAUUAGAUUAAAAGACGAGAAGACCCUAUAGAGUUUUAUAAAAUUUUAAAUUUAAAUUUUUAGGAUUAUAACUUUGCAUUUAAAAUUUUAUUUGAUUGGGGCGAUUGAAAAAUUUAAUUAACUUUUUUUAUAUAAGAACAUUAAUUUAUGAAUUUUUGAUCCAUCAAUGUAUGAUUAUAAGAUUAAAUUACCUUAGGGAUAACAGCGUAAUUUUUUUUGAGAGUUCAAAUCGAAAAAAAAGUUUGCGACCUCGAUGUUGGAUUAAAAUUAAUUUUUGGUGUAGAGGCUAAAAAAUUAGGUCUGUUCGACCUUUAAAAUUUUNCAUGAUCUGAGUUC